CCUACGGGGUGCAGCAGUGGGGAAUAUUGGACAAUGGGCGAAAGCCUGAUCCAGCCAUGCCGCGUGUGUGAAGAAGGCCUUCGGGUUGUAAAGCACUUUCAGUGGGGAAGAAAGCCUUGGGGCUAAUACCCUCGAGGAAGGACAUCACCCACAGAAGAAGCACCGGCUAACUCCGUGCCAGCAGCCGCGGUAAUACGGAGGGUGCGAGCGUUAAUCGGAAUUACUGGGCGUAAAGCGCGCGUAGGCGGUCUGAUAAGCCGGUUGUGAAAGCCCCGGGCUCAACCUGGGAACGGCAUCCGGAACUGUCAGGCUAGAGUGCAGGAGAGGAAGGUAGAAUUCCCGGUGUAGCGGUGAAAUGCGUAGAGAUCGGGAGGAAUACCAGUGGCGAAGGCGGCCUUCUGGACUGACACUGACGCUGAGGUGCGAAAGCGUGGGUAGCAAACAGGAUUAGAUACCCGAUAGUC
rnacentral:rRNA from 1 species